rnacentral:rRNA from 1 species
GGGGAAUUUUCCGCAAUGGGCGCAAGCCUGACGGAGCAACGCCGCGUGAGGGAGGAAGGCCUGUGGGUUGUAAACCUCUUUUCUCAAGGAAGAACACAAUGACGGUACUUGAGGAAUCAGCAUCGGCUAGCUCCGUGCCAGCAGCCGCGGUAAGACGGAGGAUGCAAGCGUUAUCCGGAAUUAUUGGGCGUAAAGCGUCCGUAGGUGGUUAUAAAAGUCUGUUGUUAAAGCCCACAGCUCAACUGAGGAUCGGCAAUGGAAACUGUAUGACUUGAGUGUGGUAGGGGUAGAGGGAAUUCCUAGUGUAGCGGUGAAAUGCGUAGAUAUUAGGAAGAACACCAGUGGCGAAGGCGCUCUACUGGGCCAUAACUGACACUGAUGGACGAAAGCUAGGGGAGCGAAAGGGAUUAGAUACCCCUGUAGUC